rnacentral:rRNA from 1 species
UGGGGAAUAUUGGACAAUGCGGGAAACCGUGAUCCAGCAAUGCCGCGUGAGUGAUGAAGGCCUUAGGGUUGUAAAGCUCUUUUACCAGGGAUGAUAAUGACAGUGCCUGGAGAAUAAGCUCCGGCUAACUCCGUGCCAGCAGCCGCGGUAAUACGAAAGGGGCUAGCGUUGUUCGGAAUUACUGGGCGUAAAGCGCGCGUAGGCGGCAUGCCAAGUUGGGGGUGAAAUCCCUGGGCUCAACCCAGGAACUGCCUCCAAAACUGGCAAGCUAGAGGUUGUGAGAGGAUAGUGGAAUUCCGAGUGUAGAGGUGAAAUUCGUAGAUAUUCGGAAGAACACCAGUGGCGAAGGCGACUGUCUGGCACAUUUCUGACGCUGAGGUGCGAAAGCGUGGGGAGCAAACAGGAUUAGAUACCCCUGUAGUCC